UCCGGGAUAGCUCAGCGGUAGAGCAGUCGCCUGUUAAGCGAUUGGUCGUAGGUUCGAUCCCUACUCCCGGAG
rnacentral:tRNA from 1 species